rnacentral:misc_RNA from 1 species
GCCGUCCACCGAACGGUCGGCGGGCGAUCCGUGUCGGUCCUGCGAGGUGGUAUGGUUCCCCCAGAGGCCGGUUCUUGUGCUGCCUACCCCUUCGAGGGAAGCGGGCCACUUGAUGUAAGCCUCCAUCCGGCGCCUUCCAAUGGGCGCUGGAGGACAACAGGGCACCCCCCGCGUUCCACCGAGCCUUCUCGGUCGCGUGGCCCGCGGGGACGUGCGAUGCUCUCGGACCCAGCGAACGCCGUGGGCGAGGACUCACGUCCCAGUCCCGAAAAGAAGCUCCGGUAUAGUGCAUGACGGCCGCUCCCGCCCCUCGAMCGWCCCGGCGGCGCGGGGGCGAGGCGCGCGCCGCAGAGGAAUGCUACCUGGUUGAUCCUGCCAG